UACGUAGGGUGCAAGCGUUAAUCGGAAUUACUGGGCGUAAAGCGUGCGCAGGCGGCUUUGCAAGUCAGAUGUGAGAUCCCCGGGCUCAACCUGGGAACUGCAUUUGUGACUGCAUCGCUGGAGUGCGGCAGAGGGGGAUGGAAUUCCGCGUGUAGCAGUGAAAUGCGUAGAUAUGCGGAGGAACACCGAUGGCGAAGGCAAUCCCCUGGGCCUGCACUGACGCUCAUGCACGAAAGCGUGGGGAGCAAACAGG
rnacentral:rRNA from 1 species